GGCUUUUUGAUAAUAAUUUAAGGUCUAACCUGCCCAAUGAUUUAAAUAUUAAAUGGCCGCGGUAUUUUGACCGUGCAAAGGUAGCAUAAUCAUUAGUUUUUUAAUUGAAAGCUUGUAUGAAAGGUUUGAUGAAAAAAGGACUGUCUUUAUUUAAAUUUUUUAGAAAUUUAUUUUUAAGUUAAAAAGCUUAAAUGAGUAUUAAAGACGAGAAGACCCUAUAGAGUUUUAUAAUUUUAUAGAAUUUAUUAUAUUUUAGGAUUUUUUAAUAAAUUCUAUAAAAUUAUUUGGUUGGGGUGAUUUAAAAAUUAAUUAAACUUUUUUAUUGAAUUUCCAUUGAUUUAUGAGUUUUUGAUCCUUAUUUAAAGAUUAAUAGAGAAAAUUACCUUAGGGAUAACAGCGUAAUUUUUUUUAGAGUUCUUAUCAAAAGAAAAGAUUGCGACCUCGAUGUUGGAUUAAAAAUAAUUAUUGGUGUAGAAGCUAAUAAAAUUAGGUCUGUUCGACCUUUAAAUUUUUACAUGAUCUGAGUUUAAACCGGUGUAAG
rnacentral:rRNA from 1 species